UUCAGUUUUUCUCAGGCUUGACUGGCAUUAGUUGUAGCUAAUGGUCGCCUGUGUAAAAAAUUCAUUGGGUACAAUGCUCGAGUGGGAAGAUGGGAAUAAUUAUGCCUACUUAAUUUACUCUGGGUCGUCGCGGAUGAGGAGCUUGCGGAGGGGGCUAGCCGGCCAUUUUAGCACGCCUGGGCCCAAGCCGCUGUAAUUUGACUUAUGAAUUUGAUCCGUCUCUAAUUUCGCCCAUGAAUGUUUCAGCGUGAGCGAUUCUGCCACGUCCAGUGGCUCCCCACCGGCCCGGUAUCCGGCACCUGCUAUCGGCGCGGAGGAUGGUUCUACGGCGGGAUUCUCCAUGCCAGUGCAGCUGUACGGGCUGGAUUCCGGACCGGAGCCCCCAGAGGUCGUCCCUGGGUGGAUGCGGAGAAGCUCUCGACGUGGCUUCUGCCGAAAACCAGAGGAGCAUCCUGCAUGUGAGUCAGCACUGCGAACUCUGAUUAACGGCAGAAGCCAGCGAGGUUGACUCCCCAGCCCCCCACCCAAUGGGACAGGACAUCAUUACAAAAAUGUAUGGCGCCAAGACCCGGAGAGGUCAAAGGUCACACUCAGAUCGCCUUCCGCAUCAGUGGUGUACCAGGGAGCCCGAGCUUAUUAUGCUAAAACAGGACAGUGUUUGGAACAAACGUACCAGUAGAGAAACGUCCUCCUAACGCGGCUUAGAUGGAAACUGUUUGGGCUGAAAACUUACUCUAUUCUGGGCACCGAGUUCAGAUCCAAAGUAACUUUAAACUGCCAUCGCCAGCCAGCCACCGUUCAAGGGAGCUCAGAAUUUGGGUCACCUGACUUUGGCUGACCCCGGACUGUUCGGUAACACGGGAGGACCAAAAGUGGCCUCAGGGCGUCUGGCCGCACAGACCAUCAGCAGGACAAAGCCACAGAGCUGAUUACAUUAUCCGGGGAAAGGAUCCUGACCAUUUCAACCUGCCUCAAACCCACAAGCAAUCAGAUGACCGCUGCUGCGAUGGUGGAGAGACUCUUGUAUGAUCUUCGCCGUCAUGUUUGUGAUCUGUGACCCGUAUGUCUGUUUUGUGACCAGAUGAAUAUCCCACUUCUGAAGACCGAACUGCAUCCACUCUGGGCAUUAAUUAUUAAUAUUAUUAUUAUUAUUAUUAUUAUUAUCCAGGUAACUCAGGCUCCAGGGAUCAGAAAGGCAGCCUUCCAAAAAUCAGUGAGAGAAAUACAGCACCGUCAGUCACUCUAGUGCGUCACACAUUGGCUUCCGACCUGUCGACCGUUCGUUGACGCGUUCUUGUCCUACUCACAGACGUUUGCGUCAGCGCUCUGUACAUCUCGAGCUACUUUUAGAAGAUCUGGCAAGAAAGCAAGUCGGGCCAGGAGAACUGUUUACAGUCGAGCUCCAGGUCAAAGGGUAGCCAAGGGAAAAAUACACAUCGGUCUUAACUUUCGUUUGGUUGUAAGCUUCAUGUGUGGCCUUCAUCCUGGCCUGCAUACUUCUCAUCUUUCUGCUCUUGUUGCAAAUUUUCUUGUUUUGUCUGCUUAUUUGUGGUAUGAUCUGGAAAAACAUUACCUUUAGUUUCCCAGAAAAUGUACGCAAUCCAAAUAUGUAAAAAAUGAAGCACAGGGAGAAAUAUCUGUGGUGAUUUUAUCUGAGUGAAUUUAAUCCCCAAAUAUCUCAGCUCCUGCCCUUUGCUCAUCCCGUCAAAAGCUGUAAACCGCCUUCCAUAUUUUGUUGAGCCGCCGUUAGCCCAGGCCAAAUAAGCCGCCGGUCUUGACCUAUUGCGUGGUGGGGCCCUAUCUGACCAAAUGGACCCAUCGGCUUUGAGUUGCGCGGCUUUUGCGAACUCAGCAAUAAAUAAAGAGAAUUACAUGGCCUGUACCGUAGCUGACAUGAAUG